rnacentral:rRNA from 1 species
UACGAAGGGGGCUAGCGUUGUUCGGAAUUACUGGGCGUAAAGGGCUCGUAGGCGGCCAACUAAGUCAGACGUGAAAUCCCCAGGCUUAACCUGGGAACUGCAUCCGAUACUGGAUGGCUUGAAUCCGGGAGAGGGAUGCAGAAUUCCAGGUGUAGCGGUGAAAUGCGUAGAUAUCUGGAGGAAUAUCGGUGGCGAAGGCGGCAUCCUGGACCGGCAUUGACGCUGAUGAGCGAAAGCUAGGGGAGCAAACGGG